UAGUUCUGCGCCUACCAUGGUUGUAACGGGUAACGGGGAAUCAGGGUUCGAUUCCGGAGAGGGAGCCUGAGAAACGGCUACCACAUCCAAGGAAGGCAGCAGGCGCGCAAAUUACCCACUCCCGGCACGGGGAGGUAGUGACGAAAAAUAACGAUACGGGACUCAUCCGAGGCCCCGUAAUCGGAAUGAGCACACUUUAAAUCCUUUAACGAGUAUCCAUUGGAGGGCAAGUCUGGUGCCAGCAGCCGCGGUAAUUCCAGCUCCAAUAGCGUAUAUUAAAGUUGUUGCGGUUAAAAAGCUCGUAGUCGGACUUGUGUCACACGCUGCCGGUUCACCGCCCGUCGGUGUUUAACUGGCAUGCACGUGCUGACGUCCUGCCGGUGGCCCAAGCCGAGCCGGGUGUUCUGUGUGCGGGUUUCCCUUUCGGGGCUCGCCUCGUCCCCGGCUUCUGGGGAGGGCCUACUUAUACCCCUCGCGGUGCUCUUAACCGAGUGUCUCGAUGGGCCGGCACGUUUACUUUGAACAAAUUAGAGUGCUUAAAGCAGGCAGAAUCCGCCUGAAUACUGAGUGCAUGGAAUAAUGGAAUAGGACCUCGGUUCUAUUUUGUUGGUUUUCGGAAUCCCCGAGGUAAUGAUCAAUAGGGACAGACGGGGGCAUUCGUAUUGCGGCGUUAGAGGUGAAAUUCUUGGAUCGUCGCAAGACGGACCGAAGCGAAAGCAUUUGCCAAGAAUGUUUUCUCUGAUCAAGAACGAAAGUUAGAGGUUCGAAGGCGAUCAGAUACCGCCCUAGUUCUAACCAUAAACGAUGCCAGCCAGCAAUCCGCCGAAGUUCCUCCGAUGACUCGGCGGGCGGCUUCCGGGAAACCAAAGCUUUUGGGUUCCGGGGGAAGUAUUCAGCCAAAGCUGAAA
rnacentral:rRNA from 1 species